rnacentral:rRNA from 1 species
UGGGGAAUUUUGGACAAUGGGGGAAACCCUGAUCCAGCCAUCCCGCGUGUGCGAUGAAGGCCUUCGGGUUGUAAAGCACUUUUGGCAGGAAAGAAACGUCAUGGGUUAAUACCCCGUGAAACUGACGGUACCAGCAGAAUAAGCACCGGCUAACUACGUGCCAGCAGCCGCGGUAAUACGUAGGGUGCAAGCGUUAAUCGGAAUUACUGGGCGUAAAGCGUGCGCAGGCGGUUCGGAAAGAAAGAUGUGAAAUCCCAGAGCUCAACUUUGGAACUGCAUUUUUAACUACCGGGCUAGAGUGUGUCAGAGGGAGGUGGAAUUCCGCAUGUAGCAGUGAAAUGCGUAGAUAUGCGGAGGAACACCGAUGGCGAAGGCAGCCUCCUGGGAUAACACUGACGCUCAUGCACGAAAGCGUGGGGAGCAAACAGG